UCUCGUCGAUCCCUCGUCGUGGUGUUAUCGUUUGGACAAAGCAGAAGCUCGUCUACGCGUUCCUGCAUGUGUGCGCGUGAUACGAGAGAGGAAGAUAUCGUAGGGAUCAACAAAAUAUUGCAGUAAUUCUUUUAGACGUUGUGAAACAUCCUGUACGAGGAAAAAGAGACAUCGAAUAAAAUGGUAGAAA
rnacentral:lncRNA from 1 species